AGCGAACGCUGGCGGCAGGCUUAACACAUGCAAGUCGAGCGGGCAUCCUUGUGGUGUCAACGGCAGACGGGUGAGUAACGCGUGGGAACGUGCCCUUCGGUUCGGAAUAACUCAGGGAAACUUGAGCUAAUACCGGAUACGUGCGAGAGCAGAAAGGUUUAUCUGCCGAAGGAUCGGCCCGCGUCUGAUUAGCUAGUUGGUGAGGUUAUGGCUCACCAAGGCGACGAUCAGUAGCUGGUCUGAGAGGAUGAUCAGCCACACUGGGACUGAGACACGGCCCAGACUCCUACGGGAGGCAGCAGUGGGGAAUAUUGGACAAUGGGGGCAACCCUGAUCCAGCCAUGCCGCGUGAGUGAUGACGGCCUUAGGGUUGUAAAGCUCUUUUCUCCGGGACGAUAAUGACGGUACCGGAGGAAUAAGCCCCGGCUAACUUCGUG
rnacentral:rRNA from 1 species